rnacentral:rRNA from 1 species
AUGAACGCUGGCGGCAUGCCUAACACAUGCAAGUCGAACGGUCACUUCGGUGAUAGUGGCGCACGGGUGCGUAACGCGUGGGAAUCUACCCUUGGGUUCGGAAUAACUCAGAGAAAUUUGAGCUAAUACCGGAUGAUGACGUAAGUCCAAAGAUUUAUCGCCCAGGGAUGAGCCCGCGUAGGAUUAGCUUGUUGGUGAGGUAAAGGCUCACCAAGGCGACGAUCCUUAGCUGGUCUGAGAGGAUGAUCAGCCACACUGGGACUGAGACACGGCCCAGACUCCUACGGGAGGCAGCAGUGGGGAAUAUUGGACAAUGGGCGAAAGCCUGAUCCAGCAAUGCCGCGUGAGUGAUGAAGGCCUUAGGGUUGUAAAGCUCUUUUACCCGGGAAGAUAAUGACUGUACCGGGAGAAUAAGCCCCGGCUAACUCCGU